rnacentral:rRNA from 1 species
CCUACGGGGGGCAGCGGUGGGGAAUAUUGGGCAAUGGGCGCAAGCCUGACCCAGCAACGCCGCGUGAAGGAAGAAGGCUUUCGGGUUGUAAACUUCUUUUGUCAGGGAAGAGUAGAAGACGGUACCUGACGAAUAAGCCACGGCUAACUACGUGCCAGCAGCCGCGGUAAUACGUAGGUGGCAAGCGUUUUCCGGAUUUACUGGGUGUAAAGGGCGUGUAGCCGGGUUGACAAGUCAGAUGUGAAAUCCUGCGGCUUAACCGCAGAACUGCAUUUGAAACUGUUGAUCUUGAGUACUGGAGAGGCAGACGGAAUUCCUAGUGUAGCGGUGAAAUGCGUAGAUAUUAGGAGGAACACCAGUGGCGAAGGCGGUCUGCUGGACAGCAACUGACGGUGAGGCGCGAAAGCGUGGGGAGCAAACAGGAUUAGAUACCCCAGUAGUC